AUACUUACCUGGCAGGGGCAAUACCAUGAUCAAGAAGGUUGUUUGCCCAAAGCAAGGCAGCUAUUGCACUCAGGCUAUGCUGACCUUUGCGAAUUCCCCAAAUGUGUGAAUCUCGUCUGCAUAAUUUCUGAUAGUGGGGGACUGUGUUUGCACUCUCUCCUG
ensembl:snRNA U1 U1 spliceosomal RNA